GAUGAACGCUGGCGGCGUGCCUAAUACAUGCAAGUCGAGCGAACGGACGAGAAGCUUGCUUUUCUGAUGUUAGCGGCGGACGGGUGAGUAACACGUGGAUAACCUACCUAUAAGACUGGGAUAACUUCGGGAAACCGGAGCUAAUACCGGAUAAUAUUUCGAACCGCAUGGUUCAAAAGUGAAAGACGGUCUUGCUGUCACUUAUAGAUGGAUCCGCGCUGCAUUAGCUAGUUGGUAAGGUAACGGCUUACCAAGGCAACGAUGCAUAGCCGACCUGAGAGGGUGAUCGGCCACACUGGAACUGAGACACGGUCCAGACUCCUACGGGAGGCAGCAGUAGGGAAUCUUCCGCAAUGGGCGAAAGCCUGACGGAGCAACGCCGCGUGAGUGAUGAAGGUCUUCGGAUCGUAAAACUCUGUUAUUAGGGAAGAACAUAUGUGUAAGUAACUGUGCACAUCUUGACGGUACCUAAUCAGAAAGCCACGGCUAACUACGCG
rnacentral:rRNA from 1 species